GAUGAACGCUGGCGGCGUGCUUAACAUAUGCCAGUCGAACGAUGAAGCCCAGCUUGCUGGGUGGAUUAGUGGCGAACGGGUGAGUAGCACGUGAGUAACCUGCCCUUGACUCUGGGAUAAGCCUGGGAAACUGGGUCUAAUACUGGAUAUGACUUCUCAUCGCAUGGUGGGGGGUGGAAAGAUUUAUUGGUCUUGGAUGGACUCGCGGCCUAUCAGCUUGUUGGUGAGGUAAUGGCUCACCAAGGCGACGACGGGUAGCCGGCCUGAGAGGGUGACCGGCCACACUGGGACUGAGACACGGCCCAGACUCCUACGGGAGGCAGCAGUGGGGAAUAUUGCACAAUGGGCGCAAGCCUGAUGCAGCGACGCCGCGUGAGGGAUGACGGCCUUCGGGUUGUAAACCUCUUUCAGUAGGGAAGAAGCGAGAGUGACGGUACCUGCAGAAGAAGCGCCGGCUAACUACGUG
rnacentral:rRNA from 1 species